GACCCGAAACUGAUCGAUCUAGCCAUGAGCAGGUUGAAAAGAGCUCUAACAGGCCCUGGAGGACCGAACCCACGUAUGUGGCAAAAUACGGGGAUAACUUGUGGCUAGGGGUGAAAGGCCAACCAAGAUCGGAUAUAGCUGG
rnacentral:ncRNA from 1 species